UGAAACCGUAUAAAAAGCGGGAAAUUACAAAUCGCCCCUGAGCACUGAACCAGCCUCUCUUAUCUCAAGCGCUCUCUCUGUCUUCCUUCCUCUGCAAAACCCAGAUUUCUUCUCUUUCUUCCUCUGUGAACCCUAAUUCGAAACCCUAGAUUCUCCUUUCUUUUGCUGUAAUACUGCUUCAUUCUUGUGCCGGAGCCCUUUGUUUAAGCAACGGAGGUUUGCUUUUGAUCGCUCCCUCUCUGCAUGUCCUGGUUAGAAACCCUAGUUCCUAGCUUUUGAUUUCUUUUCAUGGAAUAGUGAGUUAACUGUUAUUGCCACUUCCAGUCUCUGUGGCUGCAAUUUCUUGCGUUAAGCUCUAAACAAGGCCUUCUGCAUAAUGAGUUAUUGCUUGCCUCCAUUGAAAUCCCAGGUAAAAACCCUAGAUUUCUAUGCCCAACACAGGUUGUGUAAAUUAAGUAUUCCAGUUUAUCAAAAACGAGUUGAUAGCCUGGAUUUCCAUGGCGGAUAUAGAUUCCUUGAAGUGCCUGGUGGAGCUUCUGAGAAACUGCAAUUUCUAGGGUUCAGAUUCAAGCAAGCGGUUCAUUUCAUGAGAGAUAGGAGCAAGAAUAGGAAGCCGUUGCAAAAAGGUCGGAACUUGAGCAUUGAGGGAAUUCAGACCGUGCAGGCCUUGAAGAGAGCAAAGAAAGAUGAGGAUUCUCUUAGAAAAGUGUUUGUAACAAAGGUUAGGCGCCUGAUCAAAUUGGAUAUGAUUUCUGUUCUUCGAGAAUUGCAGAGGCAGAAUGAGGGUGAACUGGCUUUGCAGGUUUUUGAAGAUGUUCGAAAAGAGUACUGGUAUAAGCCUCAGGUAUCAUUAUAUGCUGAUAUGAUUGCAGUAUUGGCACGAAAUGGAAGCUUUGAAAAGGUUAAAUUGCUUUUCUCUGAUUUGAAGAUGGAGAUUUUGGAAGGUGAUAUUGAAGGGUUUAAUGGACUUUUGAGAACUUUCAUCGAGUUUGGCAUGGCUGGUGCUGCAACCGAAUGUUACCAUUUGAUGAGGAAAGUUCAAUGUGAACCGGAUAAAUCUACAUUUAUGAUAUUGAUUAAUGGCUUGGAAUCACUAGGAAAUUUUGAUUUUGCAUCUAAAUUAAGGUCUGAAGCUGAAAAGUACUUUGGAGACCUAGAGUUUUUUUUGGAAGAGAAUGAAGGAACAGCAAUGGCCUUAACUAGGAGCUAGCAGCAUACUGUCAGAGUCCUCAUGGGACUGAUACAUGGUGUAUUGUUCUUGUUGGGGAAGGUACAGUAUUGGAGUAUAUAUCAAGAAGAAAUAUGGGAUACAUUAAAACAUCCAGAUUCUAUUACUCAAUUCAGUCCCAUGGAAGAUAUACUUGCUAUAUGUGAGCCCUACUCUACUAUUGAUCCCUUUUGUAUUGAUUUGCCUCUUUUUUUAUCUAGCCCAUCAAAGUGCUAAUGAUAUGAUUUACCUUUUUUUUUUGGGAUGUGAAUCUUGUGUAAAUGAAGCUGUAGAACCUUCAGAAAUGAUCAGACACCCAAAGAACAUGAUGCCAACGUUUCAUAUUUAUUAAUUGAGAAGAUUCAAGUGGGGGAUGUGCAACCCACCUUUAUCGAAUUUCCAGAUCCCCAUGCUGAAGAUAUCAAGAUAGAAACACAGAUUUUUGUUGCAAAAAGGGCAAGCUUGUUUCUCUGCAAUUUCAUAGAAAGCCAAGGCCGACAUCUCGAAAUGCUCUCUAGGAUGGUUACACCAGCCACCAUAAUCACUUG